CGACGAGGAUGGAUUCGAACCCAGCGGGCAGAGCCCAAUGGAUUAGGUCCAUCCUGCUUACACUCAUCGUCGCUUAGUUGGGUCUUCCUUAUUUCAUUAUGGAUCGUAAUUUAACCUAUUCGAUAUCUUAACGGAAAAAAUGAUCAUCCGAUCGAGGAUGAUUCAACCACGCGGCAGAGCAAUGGAUUAGCAGUCCAUCGCCUUAACCACUCGGCCACCUCGUC